ACGGUUUUUAAGAGAAAGGGCUUAAGUCAAUUUUGGACAUUUUCAGUUUAUACAUUAAUUCUGUGUGAAAUUUCAAGCCACGUUGAAUGGUACCACUGUAGAUGCCAUGUGAGAUUUGGUUUACGAGAUAAAAUAGAAUGCGUAUGGUAAUAAGUCGUUAUACAGAAUUUUUUUUCAUGACAAAAGGCCUAAGUCACUAAUUAUAACUUAUUUUAAUGACAAAGGGCAUAAGUCUUAUACAAUUACAUGCAAUAGGUCUUAAGUCAUUAUAAUUUGAAGAAAAUAAAUAAAAACUAAAAUA